AGACUUUGAUCCGAGGAUUUCCGAAUGGGGAAACCCGGCUGGAGGCAAGUCCAGUCACUCCCAGCUGAACACAUAGGCUGGGUAGAGGGAACGUGGGGAAGUGAAACAUCUCAGUACCCACAGGAAGAGAAAACAAAAGUGAUUCCGUGAGUAGUGGCGAGCGAAAGCGGAUGGGGCUAAACCGUAUGCGUGUGAUACCCGGCAGGGGUUGCGUGUGCGGUGUUGUGGGCCCUCUCUUGCCAUGUCUGCCGGCGUGACGCAGUGAGGUGCGGGCAUAUAGACGAACCAGUGUGGAUGCUGGACCGUAGAGGGUGAGAGUCCCGUAGUUGAAAU
rnacentral:rRNA from 1 species